CUCUCUCUCAGGGGCCUCUGGAUCCUCUCCCGGACCACAGAGAAGGAGCCAGGGCCCAGAGAGGGCCAGCCCGAUGCCGGGGCCACACAGCAGAACAGGUCAACCUGCGCCCUGCCAUUUCACCAGGAGAAAACAGGAACCCCAGAGAGGCGACCGGACUUGACCCCACAGGGCACGGACGGCGGGGCUGGGACACACACUGGAAGCUGGUGGCUCUGGGGCGGAGGGGCCGCGACCGACCGUCCCGAGAGGUCCCCGCCCACCUCUGAAGGUAGCGUUCCACCCUCUGCCCUCUAGGACAGCUGUCAUGGUACGUGUCCCCACGGUGGUUCCUGUGGGCUUGCUCCUCUGGGGCCUGAGCUGUGCCAAGGGGGCCUUCCUCUGUCUUAGCAGGGCCCCCGCCCCACGCACACCUGCGCCACAAAGGGGGCUGGUUCCCGAGCAGCCGCUGGUGUCAGACAGGCAGGUGAUCAGGUUACAGGUGCGGGGCAGAGCAUCCUUUGUGCCCUCGUCCUGUGCCUGCCACCCUGGGCCCGCCACUACCCCUCUGUCUUGGUGCCCCGGGUGUCUGCCUGGUAUCCUGGCCUGGGGCCUCUGGGCCACCCCGGCACCUGGGAGAUGCUUCUCGCCACCCCGGCCCUCCCGCGGCCCCUGCCUACCUGAGGGGCAGGAGAGGUCUCCUGGCCCACACCUGCUCGGGCUCCCCUGGAGGCUUCAGCCCUCUGGGACAGGGGGAAGGGGCUGCAGAGGCCCCCGUCCUCCCCGUGGGAUGGAGCCCCCAGCCGCUGCCUGUCACGUGGUUCAGCAUGUGACAGCCGUGCCCUGCUGUCUGGAGCUGAGCCAGGCGAAGGCAGUGGCGGAGCGGGCGCCAGGCGGGGCUGGGCGGGGGCCGAGCCUGACAGCGCUUAGCCGGGACCCAGGCCCAGAGAGGGGCAGCCACUGGUCUAAGGCUACACAGCCAAUCAGGGGCUCACCUAGGGAGGCACUGGUGGGGAGACGGGUGUUGGAAGAUCCUGAAGGGAUGCUUCUGGGCCAAGGAUCGCCUUGCAGGGACCCCCAGCCCCCUGCCCUGUGAACUUGCCAUGAAUUUCGGAACAGCCUUCGACUUCUUCAAAGAGGCCUGGCCUCCUGGCACAGGCGUGCUCCCCUGGCCUGGCAGUGAAGCUCCCCUGGUCUGAGGGGGCAUAGCUCUUUGGGGAGGAAUAGGUGCCCUCCCCCUUCUCUGGGUUGGAGGCCUCUAUUGAUCCUCGAAGGUUCUGGGGGCUCAGUGCAGUCUGGAGGUCAUGUCCCUGUUGUGGAGAGCCGAAGAUCCAUGGGGAGAGGUCCGUGUGGGACCCCACCAGGAGGCACCCUUCGAGCCAGCUCUGAUGGGUGACAGGCUCUGCUGAGGACCCCGGUCGCCCAUGUGGGGUGUGUAGACGUCGGGAGAGGGGACACAGCGGCCUCGCACCCCCACAUUUGCCUCAGCCCUGUGCUUUGGCGAGUCCUCUGUGUUUUAGCUUGGAGGCUGGGAUGGAAUGAACUUCAUUAUCGUCACCUUCAGCCUCCUCGGCGUGGAGAGGUGGGUAAGGGUGGGCUGGGCCUGGGCCACGGCAUCCACGGACGCCUUAACACGCUCAUUGGUUCGCCCCCUCACAGACUCGAUGACCAGGGGCAUCGCGCCACCUUGCCCGCUGACGGACACUCAAACUGUGCUCCUGCGCCCACGUGUUAAGUGGCCUUGAGCAGGCCGUGGCCUCCUCCCCGCCCCACCCCGUCUUCUUCACCUCCCCCCUUGCGGAACAGGGCUGACUCUGGCUGCCUGUGUAUUUGGAAACAUCUGGUAUACAGUAGGUGCUCAGUAAGCAAGGAUGCCUUCCUGUCCCUUUCCCGCCCUCCUGAGGGAGUAGCCACUCUGGCCUUGUCCCCAGGACCCUGUCCCCCACCUUCCUUCCUUGUCUCUUGCCUUAGAGGCAAGCCCACCCUGGCUCCUGUCCCUCCCCCACCCCCCAGCCUCCCCUCAGAGACCAGCAGGACCCAUUCCAGGUGCAGAGUUAGAGGCCGGGGCGCACUCGGCACACCUUGACGAAGCGCCCACGGUGCUCCAAGCCCGCGCCAGGCACUCGAAGCAAAUCCUCACGGAAGUUUGGGACGUUGCUGUUAUAGCUUGCGGGAGAGACAACAGGCUCAGAGACGUGCAGUGACCAGGGCAGGCACACACAGGAAGAGGGACAGAGGGGGAGUCUAGCCCAGCCAGGCUCAUAGCAUUUCCAGGGUGACCUGAGCCCUUGCUUAGGAGCCCACGGGGUCACCGUGACUCCCAGGAGCCUCAUCCCGCAGCUGAAAGCAGCAGGCUCCGUUUCUUGGGCAUUUGCUCUGCUGGGCACUGGCCGGGUUCUUGGCACGUCUCCGCUUGGGGACCUCCCAACAGCUGGUGGUGACUGUCAUCCCCAAGGCUUUUAGUUUUAAAAAAUGGCCGAGAGUCAAUUCCAUGCCAGGGAAGUGGCAUUAGGUGAACGAGGAAUGGCCCAGGGCGGCCUUCUUUGGGACACAGUAUGGGGUCACGCGAUUUGCCCCACAGCGUCCCAGGAGAUGUUUUGGGGCAUCCGAAUUUCUGUCUCCUGUUUUCUGUAAGGAACAUUCCAGAAUGUCAUCAUGAGAACAAAAAAAUCAAACCUAGUAGAGAGAAAAGAAUCUGAAAACUGUUGCAUGGGGGGUGGUGUGGAAUAUGUUGGCUCAUUCCUGGGGGCUCGGCAGUGAGUGAGAGCGUGAGGCCUGGAUGGGGGUGGGAGGGGUGUGCUGGCCGCACUCAGUUCCCUGUCCUGGGAGGCUAUGCUGGAGGCCUUUACCCAGGUCCCCCCAUGCCCGCCUUAAAGGCAGUCCCAGUCUCAGGGUUCAAGGGAGGAAGUGGGGUCAUCAGCCCCCCAGGGGGUCAGAGUGAUCCAGGGAAAGCUGGCCCACGAUCUGGGCUCUGGGGUCCUGGCAGAGCCAUGCCGCUGCCCACAAACGGGCCUCCCUGUCCCUGCCCCUAUCCUCUGCCAGCACCUGAAUCUAAUCAGGGAGCCUCUGGCUUAAGUACCUGGAGCUCUUGUGUCCAGGAGCAUUUUCCGACACAUCCCAGCCCCGCAUCUGGACUGAGCCGGAGGUGGUUUUCCUGCGGGGUGUCUGGGCAUAUCCGCCGAUCUGGGGAGCCCUGGCAUGCUGCCACCGCUUCCUCUGGCCUCCCCGUGUGGGAAUGCUAACAAGACCCGCAUCGCUCAUUACUCAGCUUGGGACAUUCGUCUGCGCAUCCUCUGUGUCUUCACUUUUGGAAAAAAAAGGAAAUGAUAUUAUUUUCGCAUUUAAAGGACUGCAUCCUCCUGCGGGCGUCACAGGGCCCGUGUGACCUGCCUCAUGACCUCCUGGACCUCUUCAUCCCUUCCCACCCUGCACUACCGCCACAUCCGGGACUCAGUCAUCCCCCAGAACAAUGCACCUCGGUUCUCCAACCGCAGCUUCCUGGCCGCCUAGCCUCCCAGCUCCCGCUGCAUCCCUGCUGUCCGUCUCUUCCUGCCCCUGACCUUGUACUUCUGGGCACCUCGGGCAUGACUCCACCUGUCUGCAUCUGCCCCUGGAUGUGGUCUGGAGAAAGCUGCCGCCCGAAGUCUCUGCAGAUUCGUGCCCUCCACACCCCCAGCCACCCGCCUUCCCAGCAACCCUUCUGAGAUGCAUAUGUGUCACCCAUUCACUCACCCACCCACCCACCCACAUUUAGGGACCACCUACUAAGUGCUGGCACAGUCCUCUGCAUGAGGGGAACGUGGUGAGCAUUUGCCAGGGAUGGGGGAGGGACGAUGGGGGAAGAGACCAUUAAAUCACAGAAAGCCAGGAGGGAAAGUCAGAGGUGGGGGCUGUACCCGUCAUCAGGGUGGCUUCUUAUCCUGAGGGUGGGAAGGAAGGAGAAAGGGUCCUCCAACCAGAAGGAGCAACAAGGGCAAAGUGGGGCAAGGGAGGGAAACAGGACAUUUUUUUGUAUUGAGAUGUAAUUGACAUAUGAUGUGGUGUAAGUUUCAGGUGUACAAUGUACUGAUUGGAUACAUUUAUGUUGCAGUGUGAUUGCCAGUAAUGCUAGCUAACACCUCUGUCACAUCCCGGACUUAUCAUUUCCUCUAGAGGUGGGAAUAAUGGAGACCUAGAUUCUAACCAGACUUACUGUUUAUCGUCCGGUUUGGUUGUCUGUAAUCCCUGCACCAUGUCUUCCAGCUCCGGGACUCAUUUAUCUUCCAGUUGCUGGUAUGUACCCUCGAACAACGCCUCUCCCAUGCCCCCGCUCCUGGCCCUGGCAGCCAGCAUUUCACUCUGCUUUUUGGAGUCAGUUUUGUUGCUGUCUCUAGAUCCCACCUAGAAGAUACCAUGAAUGUGUUUCCCCCUCUGAUGUAUUUCCUUUAGCCUAAUAUCUUUGAGGUCCAUCCCUGCUGUUGCAAAUGGCAGAAUUUCCUUUUUCUCCUCAUGGCUUAAAGGUAGGUCAUUGUAGGGGCACCGGGGUGGCUCAGUGGGUCAAGCCUCUGCCUUCAACUCAGGUCAUGAUCUCAGGGUCCUGGGA